rnacentral:rRNA from 1 species
GGGGCGGCGCUACCAUGCAGUCGAACGGUAACAGGAAGCAGCUUGCUGCUUUGCUGACGAGUGGCGGACGGGUGAGUAAUGUCUGGGAAACUGCCUGAUGGAGGGGGAUAACUACUGGAAACGGUAGCUAAUACCGCAUAACGUCGCAAGACCAAAGAGGGGGACCUUCGGGCCUCUUGCCAUCGGAUGUGCCCAGAUGGGAUUAGCUAGUAGGUGGGGUAACGGCUCACCUAGGCGACGAUCCCUAGCUGGUCUGAGAGGAUGACCAGCCACACUGGAACUGAGACACGGUCCAGACUCCUACGGGAGGCAGCAGUGGGGAAUAUUGCACAAUGGGCGCAAGCCUGAUGCAGCCAUGCCGCGUGUAUGAAGAAGGCCUUCGGGUUGUAAAGUACUUUCAGCGGGGAGGAAGGGAGUAAAGUUAAUACCUUUGCUCAUUGACGUUACCCGCAGAAGAAGCACCGGCUAACUCCGUGCCAGCAGCCGCGGUAAUACGGAGGGUGCAAGCGUUAAUCGGAAUUACUGGGCGUAAAGCGCACGCAGGCGGUUUGUUAAGUCAGAUGUGAAAUCCCCGGGCUCAACCUGGGAACUGCAUCUGAU